ACUCACCAAUAUAAAUAUCAUACUUCUAUGGAGGUAACUGUCUUUGCUGUUGGUGAGACGACUGGGUUGGCUGGUUGGAUAAAUGAUUGCGUACAUGCAAGAUGAAUGAAUGCAUGUUAUGGACUUUAAGUUGGAUUUAACAAAUCCAUAU